UUUUCCUACCCUUCAGCUAACGAGCUUCCUUUGCCUGAUUUGUGAUGAACUUAGCUUUGGAGAGUUUAUUGCCUGGGAGCAUCUAACCCUCCCACAGAGAGGAGUUGAUGACAGAUCAUUUCAACACAACACAGGUAAUAGUUGAAGCAACUUCUCCUUCACAAAGAGGAAGUCAUCUUGGAAUUAAACCAUUGUUUGAGAAGCCCAUCCACUGAAUAAACAACAAAUGGAUUGUUGAGACAUGCCUAUAUUUUACUGGAGUCAAUAGUUCUCCUCCUGAGGGGGGAAAACAAU